rnacentral:tRNA from 1 species
GUUCUAGUAGCUUAUAUUAGAGCACAACACUGAAGAUGUUGUGGAGGAAACCCAGAUUCCCGAGAACG